AUAUCGAUAGGGGCUCACUCCGGCUAGCUAUCGGAAAAGAAGGUCGUGAGUUCCUACAACCCAUCCCCAAUACACGCAACAAUAAAAUUUCAGAAAUGAUGUCGUCGCCGUCACUCCAUGUGAACCGGACCUCCUCUUCCGGAUUAUCGAGGUCGAACGGGCCCUGCCUUUCCUUCGUGGCAUGUCGAUGAGCUACCUAAAAUAACAAAAAUAAUAAAUAAG